CAUGAAAAAAGCAGUGUCGCUGAUAAAUGAAAUAGAUAUAGGAAGAUUUCCACGACUGCUCACCCGAAUUCUUCAAAAACUUCACCUGAAGGCUGAGAAUAGUUUCAGUGAAGAAGAGGAAGAAAAACUUCAAGCUGCAUUUUCUCUAGAGAAGCAAGAUCUUCACCUCGUUCUUGAAACAAUAUCAUUCAUUUUAGAACAGGCUGUAUAUCACAACGUGAAGCCAGCAGCUUUGCAGCAGCAGUUAGAGAACAUUCAUCUCAGACAAGACAAAGCAGAAGCAUUUGUCAAUGCUUGGUCUUCUAUGGGUCAAGAAACAAUUGAAAAAUUCAGGCAGAGGAUUCUUGCUCCCCACAAGCUGGAGACGGUUGGAUGGCAGCUUAACCUUCAGAUGGCUCACUCUGCUCAAGCAAAACUAAAAUCUCCUCAAGCUGUGUUACAGCUAGGAGUGAGCAAUGAAGAUUCGAAGAAACUCCCAAUGUUUUCUGCAUCUCUGGCACCAUUUUACAUUCCCACCAAUAGUGUAUGAGGACUUGAAUUUCUCUACAUCCUCACCAGCAUAUUUUUCCCCUCAUUAAAAAAAGAUAUGUGAUCUUCCUAAUAGCUUUCGUGGACAACCUGGAUACAUCCCCUCUCAGCUGGGGAACCUGCCAGGAAACCUGCCAAGAAAAGGGCUGUCCGUAAUUGUUUGUCCCCUCCCCGCCCCUCAGCCCUUGCAUUUCACCACCAGCCAGCUUCCAGGUCAUUCACACUGGCUGGAGUCCCUUUUAACAAUCUAACAUGGCACCAAAGGCUCUCCUGAUGGUUUCCUCCUUCUGCCCAGCCACGCACUAACACCCAAGUGGCUUUUUUUUUUUAAUUGAGAUAUAAUUGACCCAGCGUUGUAAUUAGUUUCCGUUUGAACCUUCCUCAUGUUUUCUGAAGAGCAAACAUUGAAGUUAAAGAGUUAAUUCUGGUCUGAUGAGCAAAUUUGUGACCCUCUAGUUAUAUUCGCAAGGAGAGCUAAGAAUGUGUUUUCCACCUAAAAAUGCUGUAGUCCCAGAAAAGGUUUUGAUCAGGCCUCCUCCUAAUGUUUGUAGGGCCUGAAGAAGGAGUAAAAAUGGAGGCCAUGGUCUAUUCUAAAUUGAAAGUUUAAAUAAAGCUAUCAGACUGUAAAAUUAAAUGUGAGCUAUACUUUUUUCUUGAUAAGAUAUCUUCCUAAUGUCCUGGAGGCCAGAUUUGAAUGUAAAAUUCUUGGACUCGUGGGGUUCAUGUCAGAACAUGACAAUGUGGGCAGUUGGCCCCUGGCCAGCGCCCUUUUCCUUUUUAUCCUACACAUCUAAGCUCCAUCCUUACUCUCCUAAAAAAAUGAAGAUGGCUACUCUCAGCCACCCCUUGGGUAAACAUGGAUUCUCAAAAUCUCUCUAUACAUAGACAUGAAACACUUAGAAACCACUGCCGUGUUCUUCCAUUUUAGUCAUUGUGCGUUGAAUGGGAAACGAUCAUGGUGGCAGCUCCCAGUCAUAAUGCCAAGCAUGAGGGACUCUACCAGGUAUCAGCUGUUUUCCUUUUAGAGCUAAGUAUUUCAGUAAAGCAGGACAUGACAUUUGUUGCCUUUGAACACAGGCUUGAGCUGCACAGGUCCACUUAUAUGUGGAUUUUUUUCAAUAAAUACUGUGGCACUACACAUGCACAGUUGGCUGAAUCUACAGAUUCGGAACCCGAGAUCUGGAGUGGAGAUUAUGGGACUUGAGCAUCCACAAAUUUUGGUAUCCACAGUGGUCCUGGCACCAAUCCGCUGCAGGAUGCCAAGGGACUACUAUUAUGGAUAUGUAUGUGUGUGUGUAUAUAAAAUAAACACACAUCAUAUACACACUUAUGCACAUACUCACAUUAUUUUAGUUAUUGUUAUUUUAAGAAGUAGUUUUUUAAAGUUCCCUUCUUUCCCUUUCCUCAGUGUAACAUUUUAAGAAAUACUAUGAAAGGAAGCAAAGCAAAAUGCUGGAAACAAGAGCCUAGCUUGGCCGCUACCUCUCUAGGGUCCAGCAAAUUAGUUGUUAACAUACUGAUUUAGUCUCUGGUCUCUCCUGACCUUUGGCUUGGAGGGUAAAGUAAUGAACUUGCUUUGCUUUUCCCUAGGGUACAGCUAGACUUAUCAUCUCCCUUCAACUGCUGGGAGGAAACACAGCACUGCUAGAUAAAGCUGAUGCAGACUUUGGAGGUUUUGUGAUAUGUGCCAAUUAACUAACAUUUUUCUAAUAUAAUUUGAAAAAUUCAUAGUUUUUGUUUAUCAUUUGUAAAGGAUGAGGCUUUAAAACUGGUGUGCUGCUUCAUUCAUUUUAAAGCUCAAAGAUGGGUGUGUAAGAGGAAACGAAGACAUGUGGGAUUUGAUACUGUGCGCGGAAGCUUCAUGAGAAGGGAGGUGCCCUUUCUGAGCGUAGCCCCAUUGAUCUCCUAAAGUUAGCUGCAGAUAACUUGUUUUGAAAUGUUGGCUUUGUAAAUAGAAAUGGAAA